ACUCAAAGGAAUUGACGGGGGCCCGCACAAGCGGCGGAGCAUGUGGAUUAAUUCGAUGCAACGCGAAGAACCUUACCUAGGCUUGACAUGGACUGGAAACCCGUAGAGAUACGGGCCCCCUUGUGGUCGGUUCACAGGUGGUGCAUGGCUGUCGUCAGCUCGUGUCGUGAGAUGUUGGGUUAAGUCCCGCAACGAGCGCAACCCUCGUUCUAUGUUGCCAGCGCGUGAUGGCGGGGACUCAUAGGAGACUGCCGGGGUCAACUCGGAGGAAGGUGGGGAUGACGUCAAGUCAUCAUGCCCCUUAUGUCUAGGGCUUCACACAUGCUACAAUGGCCGGUACAGAGGGCUGCGAGACCGUGAGGUGGAGCGAAUCCCUUAAAGCCGGUCUCAGUUCGGAUCGGGGUCUGCAACUCGACCCCGUGAAGUCGGAGUCGCUAGUAAUCGCAGAUCAGCAACGCUGCGGUGAAUACGUUCCCGGGCCUUGCACACACCGCCCGU
rnacentral:rRNA from 1 species